rnacentral:rRNA from 1 species
AACGAACGCUGGCGGCAGGCUUAACACAUGCAAGUCGAGCGCCCCGCAAGGGGAGCGGCAGACGGGUGAGUAACACGUGGGAAUCUACCCAUCCCUACGGAACAACUCCGGGAAACUGGAGCUAAUACCGUAUACGCCCUUUGGGGGAAAGAUUUAUCGGGGAUGGAUGAGCCCGCGUUGGAUUAGCUAGUUGGUGGGGUAAAGGCCUACCAAGGCGACGAUCCAUAGCUGGUCUGAGAGGAUGAUCAGCCACAUUGGGACUGAGACACGGCCCAAACUCCUACGGGAGGCAGCAGUGGGGAAUAUUGGACAAUGGGCGCAAGCCUGAUCCAGCCAUGCCGCGUGAGUGAUGAAGGCCUUAGGGUUGUAAAGCUCUUUCACCGAUGAAGAUAAUGACGGUAGUCGGAGAAGAAGCCCCGGCUAACCUCGUGCCAGCCGCCGCCGUAAAAC